rnacentral:rRNA from 1 species
CCUACGGGAGGCAGCAGUGAGGAAUAUUGGUCAAUGGACGCAAGUCUGAACCAGCCAUGCCGCGUGCAGGAAGACGGCUCUAUGAGUUGUAAACUGCUUUUGUACGAGGGUAAAUCCCGACACGUGUAUCGGGUUGAAAGUAUCGUACGAAUAAGGAUCGGCUAACUCCGUGCCCGCAGCCGCGGUAAUACGGAGGGUUCUAGCGUUAUCCGGAUUUAUUGGGUUUAAAGGGUGCGUAGGCGGUUCCAUAAGUUAGAGGUGAAAUCCCGGGGCUCAACUGCGGCACUGCCGCUGAUACUGGCGGGCUAGAGUGUAGUUGCGGUAGGCGGAAUGUAUGGUGUAGCGGUGAAGUGCAUAGAGAUCAUACAGAACACCGAUUGCGAAGGCAGCUUACCAGGCUACUUCUGACGUUGAGGCACGAAAGUGCGGGGAGCAAACAGGAUUAGAUACCCGAGUAGUC